rnacentral:rRNA from 1 species
GCUUAGCCCUAAACUUAGAUAGUUACCCUAGACAAAACUAUCCGCCAGAGAACUACUAGCAAUAGCUUAAAACUCAAAGGACUUGGCGGUGCUUUACAUCCCUCUAGAGGAGCCUGUUCUAUAAUCGAUAAACCCCGAUAUACCUCACCAUCUCUUGCUAAUUCAGCCUAUAUACCGCCAUCUUCAGCAAACCCUAAAAAGGAAGAAAAGUAAGCACAAGUAUCUUAACAUAAAAAAGUUAGGUCAAGGUGUAGCUCAUGAGAUGGGAAGCAAUGGGCUACAUUUUCUAAAAUUAGAACACCCACGAAGAUCCUUACGAAACUAAGUAUUAAAGGAGGAUUUAGUAGUAAAUUUGAGAAUAGAGAGCUCAA